rnacentral:rRNA from 1 species
AUAAGUCUCGGCUAACUAACGUGCCAGCAGCCGCGGUAAAACGUAGGAGGCGAGCGUUAUCCGGAUUUACUGGGUGUAAAGCGCGUGCAGGCGGCAGCGAAAGUCGAGCGUGAAAGCUCCCGGCUCAACCGGGAGAGGACGUGCGAAACUGCGCAGCUAGAGACAGGUAGAGGCGUACGGAAUUCCGGGGUGUAGUGGUGAAAUGCGUAGAUAUCCGGAGGAACACCAGUGGCGAAGGCGGUACGCUGGGCCUGGUCUGACGCUAAGACGCGAAAGCAUGGGGAGCGAACGGGAUUAGAAACCCCGGUAGUCCAUGCCGUAAACGAUGCUAACUAGGUGUUGCGGGUAAAAGACCGGCAGUGCCGGAGUUAACGCGAUAAGUUAGCCACCUGGGGACUACGGUCGCAAGGCUAAAACUCAGAGGAAUUGACGGGGGCCCGCACAAGCAGCGGAGCGUGUGGUUUAAUUCGAGGCUACACGAAGAACCUUACCUGGGCUUGACAUGGCGGUGGUAGGGAACCGAAAGGGGACCGACCUUCGGGAGCCGUCACAGGUGCUGCAUGGCUGUCGUCAGCUCGUGUCGUGAGAUGUUCGGUUAAGUCCGGUAACGAGCGCAACCCUCAUCGCUAGUUACAAGUGUCUAGCGAGACUGCCCGUUCAACGCGGGAGGAAGGCGGGGAUGACGUCAAGUCAGCAUGGCCUUUAUGUCCAGGGCUACACACACGCUACAGUGGCCGGUACAAUGGGUCGCCAACCCGCGAGGGGGAGCCAAUCCACCAAAGCCGGUCUCAGUUCGAAUUGUAGGCCGCAACUCGCCUGCAUGAAGUCGGAGUUGCUAGUAACCGCAGGUCAGCUAUACUGCGGUGAAUACGUUCCCGGGCCUUGUACACACCGCCCGUCACGUCAUGGGAGCUGGUCAUGCCUGAAGUCGGUGAGCUAACCGCAAGGAGGCAGCCGCCUAAGGCAGGGCU